GAUGAACGCUGGCGGCGUGCCUAAUACAUGCAAGUCGAGCGAACGGACGAGAAGCUUGCUUCUCUGAUGUUAGCGGCGGACGGGUGAGUAACACGUGGAUAACCUACCUAUAAGACUGGGAUAACUUCGGGAAACCGGAGCUAAUACCGGAUAAUAUUUUGAACCGCAUGGUUCAAAAGUAAAAGACGGUCUUGCUGUCACUUAUAGAUGGAUCCGCGCUGCAUUAGCUAGUUGGUAAGGUAACGGCUUACCAAGGCAACGAUGCAUAGCCGACCUGAGAGGGUGAUCGGCCACACUGGAACUGAGACACGGUCCAGACUCCUACGGGAGGCAGCAGUAGGGAAUCUUACGCAAUGGGCGAAAGCCUGACGGAGCAACGCCGCGUGAGUGAUGAAGGUCUUCGGAUCGUAAAACUCUGUUAUUAGGGAAGAACAUAUGUGUAAGUAACUGUGCACAUCUUGACGGUACCUAAUCAGAAAGCCACGGCUAACUACGUG
rnacentral:rRNA from 1 species